UACGUAGGGGGCAAGCGUUGUCCGGAAUCAUUGGGCGUAAAGCGCGCGUAGGCGGCCCGGUAAGUCCGCUGUAAAAGUCCAGGGCUCAACCCUGGAAAGCCGGUGGAUACUGUCGGGCUAGAGUCCGGAAGAGGCGAGUGGAAUUCCUGGUGUAGCGGUGGAAUGCGCAGAUAUCAGGAGGAACACCGAUGGCGAAGGCAGCUCGCUGGGACGGUACUGACACUGAGGCACGAAAGCGUGGGGAGCAAACAGG
rnacentral:rRNA from 1 species